AUGAAAGCCAUAGCUUGGAAUUGCCGAGGUAUGGGCCGGGGCCUCGGUAGCGAUCGAAUGUUGUUCCUGGCAAAUCUGAUCCGUUCUACGAAAGCUCAGGUAAUAUUUGUUUCAGAAAUCAAAUCUUCGAAGGUUCAUUCGGUUGAUCUUGUUAACAGGUUUGAUGUGGCUAACAGUUUUGUUGUUCCUUCUAGAGGUGCUUCAGGAGGGCUCUGGCUUAUGUGGAAUGAUGAUCUUAAAAUCUCUAUUCAUAGUUCCUCCUUUCACUUUAUCCUAGCCAAUGUAGUUCAUCUAGCCUCGGGGGUUCACUUUUGUUUGAUAUGUAUAUAUGGUGAUCCUUAUCAUAGGCAGACUAGUGCCAUUUGGAAUCAGGUUUCCACUUUUGUGUAUGAUAACCUCGGAAAACCCAUGAUCUGUAUGGGAGACCUUAAUGAUAUUUUGUAUGAUACAGAUGGCUGUAAUGGUAGUGUAAAUUAUUUUCGUAUGUCUGCUUUUCGUUCUAUUGUCAAAAACUGUGGUUUCUUUGACAUCGGUUUUAGUGGUCCUGCUUACACUUGGCGCAAUAGGUAG
rnacentral:rRNA from 1 species